CAUCAUGUUCAAACACCAAUUCCCAUAUGAUCAGUGAUGUUAAGCAACUUCAAGCUUAGUCAGUGCUGAGAUGGGUGACAACUUGGGAAUACCAUGAGCUGCAAG